UGGGGAAUAUUGCACAAUGGGCGCAAGCCUGAUGCAGCCAUGCCGCGUGUGUGAAGAAGGCCUUCGGGUUGUAAAGCACUUUCAGCGAGGAGGAAGGUGGUGAACUUAAUACGUUCAUCAAUUGACGUUACUCGCAGAAGAAGCACCGGCUAACUCCGUGCCAGCAGCCGCGGUAAUACGGAGGGUGCAAGCGUUAAUCGGAAUUACUGGGCGUAAAGCGCACGCAGGCGGUUUGUUAAGUCAGAUGUGAAAUCCCCGGGCUCAACCUGGGAACUGCAUUUGAAACUGGCAAGCUAGAGUCUCGUAGAGGGGGGUAGAAUUCCAGGUGUAGCGGUGAAAUGCGUAGAGAUCUGGAGGAAUACCGGUGGCGAAGGCGGCCCCCUGGACGAAGACUAGCAGCGCAUGUCGAAAGGCUGGCGAAGUCGGGUGGGAGCAAAACAGGAUUAGAUACCCUGGUAGUCCACGCUGUAAAACGAUGUCGAUUUUGGAGGUUGUGCCCUUGAGGCGUGGCUUCCGGAGCUAACGCGUUAAAUCGACCGCCUGGGGAGUACGGCCGCAAGGUUAAAACUUAAAUGAAUUGACGGGGUCUAGCUGUUCCU
rnacentral:rRNA from 1 species